rnacentral:rRNA from 1 species
GACAGAGGGGGCAAGCGUUGCUCGGAAUUACUGGGCGUAAAGGGCGCGUAGGCGGGAUGGCAAGUCGGUCGUGAAAUCCCUCGGCUCAACCGAGGAACGUCGAUUGAUACUGCUGUUCUUGAGGAUUGCAGAGGAGACUGGAAUUCCCGGUGUAGCGGUGAAAUGUGUAGAGAUCGGGAGGAACACCGGUGGCGAAGGCGGGUCUCUGGGCAAUUCCUGACGCUGAGGCGCGAAAGCGUGGGGAGCAAACGGG